AGCCCUAGUAGUAUAACACCAUUACCUCGGUCUUG
rnacentral:tRNA from 1 species